GCCUUCUUAGCACAGUGGUAGUGCGUCCCACUCGUAUGAGGUGAUGAAUCACUUCACUGCAAUGGGGAGGUCGGUUGUUCAAUCCAGCCAGGAGGCA